rnacentral:rRNA from 1 species
AGAUUGAACGCUGGCGGCAUGCCUUACACAUGCAAGUCGAACGGCAGCACGGGAGCAAUCCUGGUGGCGAGUGGCGAACGGGUGAGUAAUACAUCGGAACGUGCCCAAUCGUGGGGGAUAACGCAGCGAAAGCUGUGCUAAUACCGCAUAAGAUCUACGGAUGAAAGCAGGGGAUCGCAAGACCUUGCGCGAAUGGAGCGGCCGAUGGCAGAUUAGGUAGUUGGUGAGGUAAAGGCUCACCAAGCCUUCGAUCUGUAGCUGGUCUGAGAGGACGACCAGCCGCACUGGGACUGAGACGACGGCCCAGACUCCUACGGAGGCAGCAGUGGGGAUUUUGGACAAUGGGCGAAAGCCUGAUCCAGCCAUGCCGCGUGCAGAUGAAGGCCGUUCGGUUGUAAACUGUCUUUGUACGGAACGUAAAGU